GGUCCUGGAUAGACCUGAAGUACCGCUGAAAUCGACCAUCAUCCAGACACAGCUCCUGGAGUAGGUGGUGGUACUCUCCGAACUAUUCCCGUCCCUGAAGAAUCUGGUGAACCCAGGGACGUCGACGUUGGCGGCAUUUUUCGGCUCUCUACAGGCUCUAAUCUAUUAUUGCAAGACUCAUUAUCACUAUCACUGACCAAUGUGUAGACUGACACUCGUGAGUCGCAUGGAAGAACUCCAAAAAGUGAUUCACUUAUGGAACAUCCACAUUAUUCGUCAUAGUAGGCAUGCAAUUGCUCCAAGUGGCCGACCCUACAUGAUGUAUACCUUUCCAUGGCUUUUUGGUGGACAAGAUCAUCUGAAGCAAGUUACCGAGCAAGCAGUGGAAACUUGCAAAAGACAAUGUCUUCAGAGAGGUCCAUACACAUGUGAUGAGACUGUGUUUGAACUAUCCUGACUUUUGAUGACAGAAAACUUUCUGCAUGCACCAUCAAAACCAGAUGAAGCAAUUGAAUUAUACUUCUUUUAAGAGCAUGCAUUUGUUAAAGACUGUGAGAUUUGUGAUAUUUGAUUAUAAAAAAAAUAAAUGUUUCUGCUGUGAUGGAUUUAUGAUCUGUCCGGGGUGACCCCACCUCUUUCCUGCAGACAGUAGGAGAUAGGAACUAGCAGACCCCCCUAAGCAUGAAGGACAAGCACUCAAAAAAAAGACAUGAAAAAAAAAGAAAAGAAACAGUUCCCCGCUUUUCAUCAACUUCUGUUCUUACAAUUGCUGUCCUUAUUACCCUUACAUGUACCUACAGGUUUUAUCAUGAUGUGCACAACUUUGACAGUUUUGCUGCCAAGCUUUACGUUGUCUAUGAUUAUUUUUCUGUAUGAUAGCAAGUAUAUGGUGGGUCAUACAAUACAGACCAAAGGUUUGGACACACCUUCU